CCUUUAUUGAACACACACAUGACACACCAAACACAAGUUAACAAGUGUCUCUGCUCCAUUUCAUCAUUGUAACUUGAAAGCAAUAUAAUUACUGACCGUCAGGUGCAACCAGAGUAGAGCACUGUGUUGUGCAUAUCCAGUAAAACUAUGCGCUCAUUUGGAAUAUAGCUUUCGUUUCCUCUUUCUGCCACCCCCCCUGCCUCUCGGCCCAAAUAAAAGGGUAAACAGAUAUGCUUCCUUGUCAUCUCUCUUCAAGAUGGAUUUUGUCACCGUAGCAUUCGUUGGUGCAAUUGGUGCUGGUGCUGCCGUGGUCGCUGCCCCUGUACUUCUGGGUGCCUUUGGAUUUGGCGCAGCAGGAAUCACCGCUGGGUCAUGGGCUGCAGGCUGGAUGUCCUCAGUUGCCAUUGCAAACGGAGGUGGGGUGCUAGCGGGCACGGCGGUGGCCGUCGGGCAAGGAAUUGGUGCGGCUGGUCUGGGGGCAGUGGCUACUACUGUAACUGCUAUUGUAGGAGCAGCAGUUGCAGCUGGAACUGCUGUUGUAGUUGCAGCUGGAACUGCUUCUUAAUCGAUAUGCUCUCAUCUUGGCAAACUGAUUUGUUGAUUCGUUUUUUUGCAUUAGGCUACCCAAAGGCAUUUUCUCAAGUUUUCACCAUUUCCCUUAGCAAUCCUUGCUAACAGUGGAAUGGGGCUGGUGACCAUAUCAUUUUAAGAAUGUGAAUGAAAUUCUGAAGCCAAAUUUGUUUCUCGCUGAUUAUGCCCACGCAAUGUGGCCAUCUAAACAAAAUGUCUGAAUUUCAAAGCUGUCCUGAACACAGCAAUAAUAGAACUGGGUAGUUGGAAUACCUUUGCUAUAACAAUAAACACCUGAACUGGUUACCUUUAAUUUCCCAAUGCAGAGCCCUGAACAUUCUUUAUUUUGUUAUGGAAAUUCAUAUGAUGUGGGUCAGAUGAGGCUACUGACAGUUAAAAAAAAUAAUAAAAAUGGAAGAGGAUGUUUUAGUGUGCCGUCUCAUCAAAUGAAAACACUAUUAAGUUGAAAAACCCCACACUGGCAAUAUGUUUAGUUUGACAUCCAAAAGGUUAGUUGAAUGAAAGUUAUUUGGUUACAUUACAACUUACGGCAUUUCCCCCCCUGAAAUAAUUCCAUAUGACAAAAAAUUAAAAAUAGCUUGUGUGACAACUACAUUUAUCUUAAUGGGCUGAUUUCUGAAACAUGCUUUGCGCAGCAAAGAGAGCCGACUUAAUCUGAUUCCGCAUAAA